AGUAUAGAACACAAGGUAAAGGACAUGAAAAUACACAAUUGACAACAAAGAGAAAUAAAAAUUCAACCACAUGCUGUCAUAGUUAACACAGAUAAGCUUAAUUAAGGCAAACACAAUAAUAAAAUGUAGUGCCUGACAACAUGCCCACACUACAUUUACUUUAAUCUUCCACGUGGUACUUUCUCCAGACCUCGAGCUAAUUCAAUGAGAGUCCCAAUAUAUAAUAACAAGCACUACAUCAUUAAGAAUUAAGCUUAGUGAUUCUGUGUGACCUUAUCAGGGCUGUUAACAAGCCACACAUAAUACGAAAGAAAGUGACCCUGCAAAUGUGAAGGCGUAAUGCACCAUUUUUAAGAACUGAGUGCAUAACUCUAAUCACAAAGGCGGCCGCAUUUCGAUGGGGGCGAAAUGCGAAAACAUCCGUGUACUUAGAUUUAGGUGCACGUUAAAGAUCCCCAGGUGGUCGAAAUUUCCGGAGUCCUCCACUACGGCGUGCCUCAUAAUCAGAAAGUGGUUUUGGCACGUAAAACCCCAUAAUUUUUUUUUUUAACUCUAAUCACAGCGUGCAUGUACCAUUGGGAAUUUGAGGGCAAAAUUAUACAAGUUGCCAAUUUGUAUGAAACAGCAAACAAAUAAAUGGCAACCUCUAGCCAGCAAAAUCUUUCAUAUGUGUGUGCAUGCUGACUGUAUGGCUGCCAUGAAUGUACAUGCUAAAUUAAAAGAUAGGGUGUACAAUGACAAGGUCAACGGAUCUGCUGCAAAAUGUAAUUCAACAUGUACACAAUGUUCGACACAAGCAAAUAAAAACAGGGCGUGUGCGCAAAAGUUGUGCAUGCCCCCAACUGGCUUUUUUAGAAUAGGCAUCACGUCAAUUGUCGCUUCUUGCUGUUUACAGUGUAGUCCUGUACCUGGCCAACAAACACGGCACAACAGCUUCCGCUGGUUGAGGCAAAAGUAGAGUUCAAGACUGCAGAAUGCACUUUCUCUCGAGGUCUCCCGCAGAAUGCCGUUUCAUGGAAACUGCAUCAUUGCCCGACAUGGCUCAACAUAGGAGAGCACACAUGCAUGAAGUCGGCAUCUACAUAUAGCAAUCUGUACUACCCCUCCAGACGUACGAAAAGAAACAGCGAACACUACAUAAAUGUCCUCACUGCAACAAAUGUUUCUAGUGCAUCAUUCAUUUGAUAAACCAAAUUCAUUUCUUUG